UACGGAGGGGACUAGCGUUGUUCGGAAUUACUGGGCGUAAAGCGCACGUAGGCGGCUUUGUAAGUUAGAGGUGAAAGCCCGGGGCUCAACCCCGGAAUUGCCUUUAAGACUGCAUCGCUUGAAUCCAGGAGAGGUGAGUGGAAUUCCGAGUGUAGAGGUGAAAUUCGUAGAUAUUCGGAAGAACACCAGUGGCGAAGGCGGCUCACUGGACUGGUAUUGACGCUGAGGUGCGAAAGCGUGGGGAGCAAACAGG
rnacentral:rRNA from 1 species